UACGUAGGAUGCAAGCGUUGUUCGGAAUUACUGGGCGUAAAGAGUACGUAGGCGGUUUGAUAAGUCUGCUAUUAAAGACUGGAGCUUAACUCCAGGACUGUAGUGGAAACUGUCAGACUAGAGGACAAUAGAGGAAGUGGGAAUUCUCAGUGUAGCGGUGAAAUGCGUAGAUAUUGGGAAGAACACCAGUGGCGAAAGCGCACUUCUGGGUUGUUACUGACGCUGAGGUACGAAAGCGUGGGGAGCAAACGGG
rnacentral:rRNA from 1 species